rnacentral:rRNA from 1 species
CACGUAGGGUCCGAGCGUUGUCCGGAAUUACUGGGCGUAAAGCGCGCGCAGGCGGUUAGUCGCAUCGGCGGUGAAAGCCCCCCGCUUAACGGGGGAGGGUCCGUCGAGAUGGACUGACUGGAGGCAGGGAGAGGGCGGUGGAAUUCCGGGUGUAGUGGUGAAAUGCGUAGAGAUCCGGAGGAACACCAGUGGCGAAGGCGGCUUACUGGACCGGUUCUGACGCUGAGGCGCGAAAGCGUGGGGAGCAAACAGG